GACGGGGGGGCAAGUGUUCUUCGGAAUGACUGGGCGUCAAGGGCACGUAGGCGGUGAAUCGGGUUGAAAGUGAAAGUCGCCAAAAAGUGGCGGAAUGCUCUCGAAACCAAUUCGCUUGAGUGGGACAGAGGAGAGUGGAAUUUCGUGUGUAGGGGUGAAAUCCGUAGAUCUACGAAGGAAGGCCAAAAGCGAAGGCAGCUCUCUGGGUCCCUACCGACGCUGGGGUGCGAAAGCAUGGGGAGCGAACAGG
rnacentral:rRNA from 1 species